AGAGAGAGAGGAUGGAGGGGAAUGAUGUGGUUAUGAUUCCUGUAGAAAUGGACCGUCACGCUCCAUCUCUCUUAGUUAACGUUAUUUCAAUUUCCCUCUUAAUUUGCUCUUUAUUACUCUCUCUCUCUUUCUCUCUCUCUCUCUCUCUCUCUCUCUCUCUCUCUCUCUCUCUCUCUCUCUUUCACACUCUCUCACACAUUUUUAUCUGUUGAAAAUCUCCAAUUUCUAUUUAAGUUGAUCUGGAUUUCCUUGCAAUGUCCUUUCUGUCAUAUUGCUUCAAACCUGUUUAAAAAAUAAAUUAUUAGUUAUGGACAAAGCGAUUGGUUUGCAACCUGUUAACUGUUAUUUAAAGGUAAAGUCACUUCCGUCACACAUAGAGCUAGUAAGCUAUUCGAUAUCAAUAUCAUGAUCAUGAUUAAAAAACUGAAAACAGAACUAACAUACAGACAUAAAACUGUCAUCAGCUAUUAGUGAGUAAUCCAGCUUAAAAAAAAAGCUGUUAGCAUCACGGCUAUGCUGUUGGCGUAAACCCAGUUGAGAUCUGGUGUUAGCAUUGCAGCUAACAUGCUUUCCAAGGAUUCUUAAAAAGAGUCUACAUUAUUGCUGUGUUUGGUGAUAUGAGGCUUAAAUGGAGCUGCUUAGCCAAGGAAACCAUGAACCAUUGCUUGAGUCUCUCUACUCUCUACUGUUGUUGAUCUAAUUUGAAGCUACAUGAAGUUUGGAGGUGUGUAGUGAUGAACUCUGAAGCUACAUGAAGUUUGGAGGUGUGUAGUGAUGAACUCUGAAGCUACAUGAAGUUUGUAGGUGUGUAGUGAUGAUGAACUCGGAAGCUACAUGAAGUUUGGAGGUGUGUAGUGAUGAACUCUGAAGCUACAUGAAGUUUGGAGGUGUGUAGUGAUGAACUCUGAAGCUACAUGAAGUUUGGAGGUGUGUAGUGAUGAACUCUGAAGCUACAUGAAGUUUGUAGGUGUGUAGUGAUGAUGAACUCUGAAGCUACAUGAAGUUUGUAGGUGUGUAGUGAUGAUGAACUCUGAAGCUACAUGAAGUUUGUAGGUGUGUAGUGAUGAACUCUGAAGCUACAUGAAGUUUGUAGGUGUGUAGUGAUGAACUCUGAAGCUACAUGAAGUUUGGAGGUGUGUAGUGAUGAACUCUGAAGCUACAUGAAGUUUGUAGGUGUGUAGUGAUGAUGAACUCUGAAGCUACAUGAAGUUUGUAGGUGUGUAGUGAUGAACUCUGAAGCUACAUGAAGUUUGUAGGUGUGUAGUGAUGAACUCUGAAGCUACAUGAAGUUUGGAGGUGUGUAGUGAUGAACUCUGAAGCUACAUGAAGUUUGGAGGUGUGUAGUGAUGAUGAACUCUGAAGGUACAUGAAGUUUGGAGGUGGGUAGUGAUGAACUAAUCUGAAGCUACAUGAAGUU